GUAGUCCACCCCGUAAACGUUGGGAACUAGUUGUGGGGUCCAUUCCACGGAUUCCGUGACGCAGCUAACGCAUUAAGUUCCCCGCCUGGGGAGUACGGCCGCAAGGCUAAAACUCAAAGGAAUUGACGGGGACCCGCACAAGCGGCGGAGCAUGCGGAUUAAUUCGAUGCAACGCGAAGAACCUUACCAAGGCUUGACAUAUACGAGAACGGGCCAGAAAUGGUCAACUCUUUGGACACUCGUAAACAGGUGGUGCAUGGUUGUCGUCAGCUCGUGUCGUGAGAUGUUGGGUUAAGUCCCGCAACGAGCGCAACCCUCGUUCUAUGUUGCCAGCACGUAAUGGUGGGAACUCAUGGGAUACUGCCGGGGUCAACUCGGAG
rnacentral:rRNA from 1 species